CUUCAGUGAUGAUACGAUGACGAGUCGGAACAGGACUCCUUCUGGUUCUGGCGGUUCCUGUUUCAGAUCCACGUUCUGUGGUUCUGCUUCAGUUCCUCAGAUCAGGGAGUCUUAUUUGGUUGAAGACAUUGAGGCAUUUGUCUGAGAAGG